rnacentral:rRNA from 1 species
AAGUCGAGCGGAUGAGAAGAGCUUGCUCUUCGAUUCAGCGGCGGACGGGUGAGUAAUGCCUAGGAAUCUGCCUGGUAGUGGGGGACAACGUUUCGAAAGGAACGCUAAUACCGCAUACGUCCUACGGGAGAAAGCAGGGGACCUUCGGGCCUUGCGCUAUCAGAUGAGCCUAGGUCGGAUUAGCUAGUUGGUGAGGUAAUGGCUCACCAAGGCGACGAUCCGUAACUGGUCUGAGAGGAUGAUCAGUCACACUGGAACUGAGACACGGUCCAGACUCCUACGGGAGGCAGCAGUGGGGAAUAUUGGACAAUGGGCGAAAGCCUGAUCCAGCCAUGCCGCGUGUGUGAAGAAGGUCUUCGGAUUGUAAAGCACUUUAAGUUGGGAGGAAGGGCAUUAACCUAAUACGUUAGUGUUUUGACGUUACCGACAGAAUAAGCACCGGCUAACUCUGUGCCAGCAGCCGCGGUAAUACAGAGGGUGCAAGCGUUAAUCGGAAUUACUGGGCGUAAAGCGCGCGUAGGUGGUUUGUUAAGUUGGAUGUGAAAGCCCCGGGCUCAGCCUGGGAACUGCAUCCAAAACUGGCAAGCUAGAGUACGGUAGAGGGUGGUGGAAUUUCCUGUGUAGCGGUGAAAUGCGUAGAUAUAGGAAGGAACACCAGUGGCGAAGGCGACCACCUGGACUGAUACUGACACUGAGGUGCGA